CGAUCCUCCUGCCCCAGCCUCCCAAGUAGCUGGGACUACAGAUUCCGUUGUGGCAUUGUGGUCAAAGAAUAUACAAAUCACUGAAGCAUCAAGUCUUUGUGGACACUCCUGGGAUUCUAUGUAUUUAAAUAUCUUCACAUGAAUGUAACAGAGUACAAUACAGAAAGGGAACUGCCCCGAACAUGAAAGUCCCAUUCAGGAAGCUGUUACAUUGCAAACAUCGGACGAACCUCCAGUACUCUGCCCAGCAGAAGUGGCCAACGCGGGAUCCUUGCCUCGUUCGUGAUCUCAGAGGAAAGGCUCUCACGCUUCUGCCGUUAGCUAUGAUCUUCACAAUGGACUUUUUAUGUCUGGCUUAUAGUACGUGGAGGUUCAUGCCGGCCUCUUAAAAUGAGUUGGAAGUGUUUCCUCCUGGUCAAUUUUGGAAGAGAUUGAGGAGCACCGGUGUUGAUUCUUCUUGAGCUGUUUGAUGGGAUUCUCCACUGAAGCCGUCUGGUCCCGAGGUUUCUCUGCUGGGAGGUUUUUGAUUAGGGAUUCAAUCUCCUAGCUAGUUAUCGAGCUCUGUUCAGAGGUUUUAUCUCUUCAUGGUUCAGUCUCGGUAGGUGUUUUGUGUCUCAGAAUUUACCCAUUUCUUUUAGAUUAUCCAAUUGCUUGGCUUAUAAUUAUUCAUACUAUUGUCUUAAAAUCUUCUUCUUUCUGCGUAUCUGCUGUAAUGUCUCCUCUGUCAUUCUGAUUUUAGCUAUUGGAGUCUUCUCUGUUUUUCACAGUUAAUCUAAUUAAGAGUUUGUCCAUUGUGCUGAUCUUUUCAUAGAAACCAACUCUUAGUUUCAUUGCUUUUUUUCUAUUACUAUUCUCGGUUUCCUCUGGUUCUACUCUAAUCUUUAUUACUUCCUUCCUUCUGCUAACUUUGGGUUUAUGAGGUUUUCCCAUUUCUAGUCCUUGACACAUAAAGUUAGGUUGUUGAUCUGAGCUCUUUCUUCUUUAUUAAUGUAAGCAUUUACCUCAACAAACAGCCCUCUUAACAUUGCUUUUCCUGCCGCAUCUGAUAAGUUGUGCAAAUUCGUGCUUCUGUUUUCAUUUGUCUCAAGAU